GAUGAACGCUGGCGGCGUGCCUAAUACAUGCAAGUCGAACGAACUUCCGUUAAUUGAUUAUGAGGUGCUUGCACUGAAUGAGAUUUUAACACGAAGUGAGUGGCGGACGGGUGAGUAACACGUGGGUAACCUGCCCAGAAGCAGGGGAUAACACCUGGAAACAGAUGCUAAUACCGUAUAACAGAGAAAACCGCCUGGUUUUCUUUUAAAAGAUGGCUCUGCUAUCACUUCUGGAUGGACCCGCGGCGCAUUAGCUAGUUGGUGAGGUAACGGCUCACCAAGGCGAUGAUGCGUAGCCGACCUGAGAGGGUAAUCGGCCACAUUGGGACUGAGACACGGCCCAGACUCCUACGGGAGGCAGCAGUAGGGAAUCUUCCACAAUGGACGCAAGUCUGAUGGAGCAACGCCGCGUGAGUGAAGAAGGGUUUCGGCUCGUAAAGCUCUGUUGUUAAAGAAGAACGUGGGUGAGAGUAACUGUUCACCCAGUGACGGUAUUAACCAGAAAGCCACGG
rnacentral:rRNA from 1 species